AUUGAACGCUGGCGGCAGGCCUAACACAUGCAAGUCGAGCGAGCGGCGGACGGGUGAGUAAUGUAUGGGGAUCUGCCCGAUAGUUGGGGAUAACUACUGGAAACGGUGGCUAAUACCGCAUACUAUCGGAUGACCCCAUAGGGGAUUUGCCAGUAGGUGGGGUAAAGGCUGACCUAGGCGACGAUCUCUAGCUGGUCUGAGAGGAUGAUCAGCCAAACUGGGACUGAGACACGGCCCAGAGUCCUACGGGAGGCAGCAGUGGGGAAUAUUGCACAAUGGGCGCAAGCCUGAUGAAGCCAUGCCGCGUGUAUGAAGAAGGCAUUAGGGUUGUAAAGUAAUUUCAGCGGGGAGGCGUUAGCCGAAGAAGAAGAACCGGCUAACUCCGUGCCAGAAGCCGCGGUAAUUC
rnacentral:rRNA from 1 species